rfam:Phlebotomus papatasi Contig3266.3, whole genome shotgun sequence.
AUACUUACCUGGCGUAGGGGUUACCGUGAUCAUUAAGGCGGUUCCCCCGAGGCGAGGCCUUUCCAUUGCACAUCGGUUGGGUUGACCCUUGCGAUUAUCUAUCUAGAUUUAUUCUUAAAAUCAUCC